UACGGAGGGUGCGAGCGUUGUCCGGAAUCACUGGGCGUAAAGGGCGCGUAGGCGGCUGGGGAAGUCGGCGGUUAAAGCCCGGAGCUCAACUCCGGGUCGGCCGUCGAGACUCCUCGGCUCGAGCUCACUAGAGGCAGAUGGAAUUCCGGGUGUAGCGGAGGAAUGCGUAGAGAUCCGGAAGAACACCGGUGGCGAAGGCGGUCUGCUGGGGUGAGGCUGACGCUGAGGCGCGACAGCGUGGGGAGCAAACAGG
rnacentral:rRNA from 1 species